rnacentral:rRNA from 1 species
UUAAACAUGAGAGUUUGAUCCUGGCUCAGGAUGAACGCUGGCGGCGUGCUUAACACAUGCAAGUCGAACGAAGCAGUUUAUCACGAUCCC